rnacentral:sRNA from 1 species
GAAGAAUCUCCUUUCGUCGUGUUCGUACGUUGGGUGAAUAGCUCUUGCAUGACGCCAUGGCACUCGGGCCAGAAGCCUUGAUCCAGACGGCUUGAUGGGUGAGGCCAUGGGGAGAGAAGUUCGCAGUUUCCGGUGACAGAUAAAGGAAAAAACCUCGGGAGAAAGCGGCUGUUUUUGCAAAAGAUUCUCGGGUGUUUGUCGGAGGUUUUCGCGCCUUUC